UACGUAGGGGGCUAGCGUUGUCCGGAAUCAUUGGGCGUAAAGCGCGCGUAGGCGGCCCGGUAAGUCCGCUGUAAAAGUCAGGGGCUCAACCCUUGAACGCCGGUGGAUACUGCCGGGCUAGAGUCCGGAAGAGGCGAGUGGAAUUCCAGGUGUAGCGGUGAAAUGCGUAGAUAUCUGGAGGAACACCGGUGGCGAAGGCGGCAUCCUGGACCGACACUGACGCUGAGGCGCGAAAGCCAGGGGAGCAAACGGG
rnacentral:rRNA from 1 species